CAGGGAGCGAUCAUCAAAGAGAAUGUCAACACACAGACCGGGCCGAUAAGGGUAAUUCAUAAGCAACGCUUUCCGUAAACUAGAACAGUGUAAUCCAGCCCGACAUAAUCUGACCCACAACACAUACUUCUUGUGCAGAGCAAAUGCAGCUGAUCCCAUGACGAAGCCAGAGGCAAUGCAUGAUAGAGGAGGUGUGAAACUGCUGAUGAGAUGUAUGAACUGAAGCGGUGAUUCAUCCGCUCUCCUUUAACCCUGAACCAUGAAGAGCUCCUGUGCUCUGAAGUCUGCCAGCUGUUCGUCCCCGCGGCUCUAACGAACGUACAGAAUCAUUACAGCUUGUCUCGUCUUGCAGUAAAUAAAGAAAAAUAAUCCUCCAUCCAUAACCCCUGGUUAGGUCGGCCAACAGAUUUUUUGAAAUGAGAAAAACGUAAUUGGGAAAUGACUGACCUGUUUUCUCGUUUUGAAGAUAAAAAAACCCCAGAAAUUAAAGCAAUUUGUGACUUUAAGCAGUGCUGUCUUUGUGCUAUGAUGUCAGGAUUGUGAAAUGCCCGUUUUCCUUCGUUUUUUAUUUUCAAAACAAAAAAAACUGAAACCAGAUCGUUCUUUCAUAUUGAAAAUAAACAGAAAACGAAAGAAAACAUUGAAAAUGAAAAACAAAAAAAGGCCUGUUGUUUGUUCCCUAUAUGUAUAAAUGUAGUCAGGAAACAGCUUA